AGAGUUUGAUCCUGGCUCAGGAUGAACGCUGGCGGUCUGCUUAACACAUGCAAGUCGAACGGUCUCUUUCCUUCCUCGCAAGAGUGGGAAAGAGGUAGUGGCGAACGGGUGAGUAUCACGUGAGGAACCUGUCCUGGUCUCUGGGAUAACAGCCGGAAACGGCUGCUAAUACCGGAUGCCGUCGGAGCGUCGCAUGGCGCGCUGACGAAAGGGUUACUGGAUCAGGAGGGUCUCGCGGCCUAUCAGCUAGUUGGUGGGGUAACGGCCUACCAAGGCAUCGACGGGUAGCUGGUCUGAGAGGAUGAUCAGCCACACUGGGACUGAGACACGGCCCAGACUCCUACGGGAGGCAGCAGUGGGGAAUCUUGCGCAAUGGGCGAAAGCCUGACGCAGCAACGCCGCGUGCGGGAAGAAGGCCUUCGGGUUGUAAACCGCUUUCAGAAGGAACGAAAAUGACGGUACUUUCAGAAGAAGGUGCGGCCAACUACGUGCCAGCAGCCGCGGUGACACGUAGGCACCAAGCGUUGUCCGGAUUUAUUGGGCGUAAAGAGCUCGUAGGCGGUUCGGUUAGUCGGGUGUGAAAACUUUGGGCUCAACCCAAAGCGUGCACUCGAUACUGCCGUGACUAGAGUUCGGUAGGGGAGUGGGGAAUUCCUAGUGUAGCGGUGAAAUGCGCAGAUAUUAGGAGGAACACCGGUGGCGAAGGCGCCACUCUGGGCCGAAACUGACGCUGAGGAGCGAAAGCGUGGGUAGCAAACAGGAUUAGAUACCCCCGUAGUCC
rnacentral:rRNA from 1 species